rnacentral:rRNA from 1 species
GUGUGUUAUAUGUGUCACACAGGACUGCUGGUAUUAAGCCGGAGGAAGGUGGGACGACGUCAAGUCAGCAUGACCUUUAUAUCCAGGGCUACACACACGCUACAAUGGUCAGUACAAUGGGUUGCCAAGCCGCGAGGCGGAGCCAAUCCUAAAAAGCUGGCCUCAGUUCAGAUUGCAGUCUGAAACUCGACUGCAUGAAGUCGGAGUUGCUAGUAAACGCAGGUCAGCUAUACUGCGUUGAAUACGUUCCCGGGGCUU